UGCGGCAUCACCUCCUUUCUAAGGAAGCUGUGGAACGGUAAGACGACCGGCACAUGUCGCAAGACAUGGCCCGGUAUGAACCUUCCCGUGCUUUUUAGAACAAUAGAUGGCACCAGUCAGGUGACCAUCGAAACGCAAUACGCCACGGAAUGCUUUAAGCAUCGGAUGGUAUGGCGAACCCGCCGACUACGUUUCUCUUUCUUCAAAAGGAUAUGAACCAUUGGUUUGCGCUCACGCGUCUGUUCGCAUGUCUUCGACAUGCUGACGCUCCGCGAGGGCGCCGGACGACCGGCGACGGCCUCUGGCCUGUAUGGGUGCCUGCUUGCGGGCGCCUCGCUCGGCGAGAUGGGCCCGUAGCUCAGUUGGUUAGAGCACACGCUUGAUAAGCGUGGGGUCGGUAGUUCGAGUCUACCCGGGCCCACCAUUUUUGGUUCGCCAAUGUGGUUUGUUUGAUGGUUUACCUGAUCCUGGCGUUUGUUUCGUCAGGUGUUUGUGAUGGUUGGGGCUGUAGCUCAGCUGGGAGAGCACCUGCUUUGCAAGCAGGGGGUCAGCGGUUCGAUCCCGCUCAGCUCCACCAAUUCACUUUGGUGUCGAUGCUGUUGGUGUCGAGCCGGGCGGACAACGUAUCCUUUGAAGAAAUAAAAGUUUGCAUCACUUCGAUGAAGUGCUGCCUGUUCUGCAAAAAUCGUGAAGAGAAGAUUGAUCUGGAGGCUUCCAGGUAUGGGUUUAGGCCCAUGUCCGAAGCCGGUUCCAAUGAUGUCGUUGAUGGCCUAGCCGGCCGGAUGCGAAAGAGGGACCGGAAGAGGUAGGAAGCUUGUCACUCUGGUCGGUCGUUGUUGGUGUUCUGACCUUCGGGUUUGCGCAUCUCUGACGACUUGCUGAUGUCCGUUUGCUAACCGCGCGGACCCGGAUUUAAUCUCGAGAAGCUGGUCUUAAAGACAAGACUGCAAGCGGGUCGCUCGGCGUGACCCCAAUCAAGCAGGCUUGUCGAACACGUCGAUGGCAUCAUGAGAAGGGCUGGUUGUAAAAGGUAACCGGUCCGCCACGCAUGGGUCUGAAAGCCCGAUGGGUGGCUAUAUUGAUGAGCAUUGGCAAUGAGAACGAUUAAGUGUCGUAAGGGCAUUUGGUGGAUGCCUUGGCAUGCACAGGCGAAGAAGGACGUGAUACGCUGCGAUAAGCCGUGGGGAGCUGCGAAUGAGCUUUGAUCCAUGGAUCUCCGAAUGGGGAAACCCGG
rnacentral:misc_RNA from 1 species